CUUCCUCGCCGGGCUCUCGCGUGCUCUUCCUCUCUCCCAAAGCCUCCAUGAGCGAGUGAGCGACCGACCGACCCAUGCUGGCAGAAGCUCCAGGCUUGCUGGCAGCGGGAGAAAGUCCUUCGGCAGGAUAAAGCGUCGGCAGCUUGGGGCUGGGUGACCCUUCUGGAGCCGGAACAGCAGUUUGCUCAGUUUUGGUUUCACACCUUUCCUCUAGGAACUAAGACAGCACAGUGGAUUAUCAAAGCACGCAAGUGUUUUCUUCCAAAGAGAAAGUAUGGACAAUCAACUCCGACAACCGACUCUUCCUCUGCCAGCAGCUAACGCCUGAGGGCCCCCCCACCUGCACAAAUCCUCGUAGGAAGAGAAGAGUCUCAAGUUCUUCAAAAAUUUAAGGAAAUCAUCCCAAAGGUAGCUGCUAGGGAAAACGAUCCCUGGUGGCAGGGUACACAAUAGACGCCAGUCUCAGCUCUUUUCUGCAGGGUCACAAAUUCAGACCGCACGUCUGACCAGCAGGGAAGUUUAGGACAACUGAGUGCAGAUACUCCCAAUGUCUACCAGUUCACCUGUGCUUUAAGACUCACUGCAAAGCCUCAGCUGGAAAAAGAAUCACCUCUGGGUAUCCAACCAAAUAAUCAGUUUCAAUUUAUUUGUUUCUUUAUUUUCAGCCGUCAAUCAGUUCACCAAUUUCCAUGAACAUGUCAUCCUCCUCAUUCUCUGGGUCCACGUCAAUUUCCUCUUCCAGUUUGCCUCCCGAGAUUUCCCAAAGAAACUUCUCAAAGUCAUCUUCUACAGAGAAGGGGGCUUCCCAGGCCCCUCUGGAGCUCAACCGGUCUGGCUUUACUGCUACUUGUGAGGAAGCUGAGGAUGAGCUUGCGACCUCUGACGGUGCCACAGAGUCUGCCUGGCUUCCAAUAUGCAGUUCAGGACUUGGAAG